GCCUGAAUAGCUCAGUUGGUAGAGCAAUGGACUGAAGAUCCAUGUGUCGUUGGUUCGAUUCCAACUUCAGGCA
rnacentral:tRNA from 2 species